UAAAAAUCAUCAAAACGAUAUCAAGUCAAUGACAUUGUGUAGUGGAAAAUAACAAAAUUUAUUGCAUCAACUACUAAAUUAAUUAUCACCCAAUCAAAGGAUCAGUUAAGAGUUUACUUAAAAUGAGUGUAAAAAGAAUAUGUGUUGAAAAAGACCAACAAACCUCUGAUGUUGGUGACAAGGAUCAAAAAGUCGUCAUCAACUCACUGGACUACGACUCAUUAGCAAAAAUCAUCAUGUUGUUGCCAAUACCAGAAAGAAUUGACAUGGAAAAAGUUUGUACCAAAUGGAAAG